UACAGAGGUCCCAAGCGUUGUUCGGAUUCACUGGGCGUAAAGGGUGCGUAGGCGGUCGGGCAAGUCUGAUGUGAAAUCUCACAGCUUAACUGUGAAACUGCAUUGGAUACUAUCCGGCUCGAGGAAUGGAGGGGAGACUGGAAUACUUGGUGUAGCGGUGAAAUGCGUAGAUAUCAAGUGGAACACCGGUGGCGAAGGCGAGUCUCUGGACAUUUCCUGACGCUGAGGCACGAAAGCCAGGGGAGCAAACGGG
rnacentral:rRNA from 1 species